rnacentral:lncRNA from 1 species
ACCCAUUAACCCAUGAAUUAUGAAAUUAAUACCUUAGAUCUUUAAUUUUUAAAUUUAGAUCACUUAAUUCUCAAUUAAGUUUCGAGCUGACAGGAGUUCAGGUUUAGUGUUUGAAAAUAGUUUUUAAUGCUGUAAAAUAUUUUUACAAUCAAUCAUCUAAUGAUCAAAAUCCUAAUUUUAAAUCUAAUAUAUAUUAUUUUAGAUAUAAAAUAAAAUUUUAAAAUUUUUUUGUUAUUCAUCAUCAUUGGAAAGACCACACAGCACCCCUACAUGCCAUAGAAGAUCCCAUCGAAUGGGUAAAUAGGGUUGUGAAAUCCUAAUUUCUUUUAUGUCCGGAUGACUAUGAAGAUCUAUCCAAUCAGAUUACUAUACUACUCAAAUUUUAAAUUAAUUAUUUAAAUUUAAUUUAAAUAAUUAAAAUCAGAUUUUAUAAGGAUCAGCAUAAACUAGGACAAUCUUUGUACUGUAAGAGAUAAACCUUACAGGAGGACAACCUUAUAUCAGUUUGUACGAUCAAAUGUAUAACUAAUUUUAAGUCUAAAUAUUAUAUAUCAAAUCUAAUCUAAAUUAAAUUAUAAAUCUAAAUGCAAAUAAUAUCAUGCCAU